rnacentral:rRNA from 1 species
GCUAUACAUGCAGUCGAGCGAACAGAUAAGGAGCUUGCUCCUUUGACGUUAGCGGCGGACGGGUGAGUAACACGUGGAUAACCUACCUAUAAGACUGGGAUAACUUCGGGAAACCGGAGCUAAUACCGGAUAACAUAUUGAACCGCAUGGUUCAAUAGUGAAAGGCGGCUUUGCUGUCACUUAUAGAUGGAUCCGCGCCGUAUUAGCUAGUUGGUAAGGUAACGGCUUACCAAGGCAACGAUACGUAGCCGACCUGAGAGGGUGAUCGGCCACACUGGAACUGAGACACGGUCCAGACUCCUACGGGAGGCAGCAGUAGGGAAUCUUCCGCAAUGGGCGAAAGCCUGACGGAGCAACGCCGCGUGAGUGAUGAAGGUCUUCGGAUCGUAAAACUCUGUUAUCAGGGAAGAACAAAUGUGUAAGUAACUGUGCACAUCUUGACGGUACCUGAUCAGAAAGCCACGGCUAACUACGUGCCAGCAGCGGCCGGUAAUAA